rnacentral:lncRNA from 1 species
AUUUUUAGUUUCUUUCAUUUUGAUUAAAUCAAUUGUGUUCUAAAUUAUUAUUUUUUUGUCCAUAACGUUAUUUUUGUUUAAUAUAUUUUAAUUUUUAAAUAUUUAUCGAUAUAGAUAUGCAAAAAUCAUUUUUUUAUAAUAAUCAAAAGGUUAUGCAUAUGACGUUGCAAAAAUAACGAUAAUGAUGAAUUUAGAAAAACAAACUAAGGUUAUGCAUAUGACGUUGCAAAAAUAAAGAUAAUGAUGAAUUUAGAAAAACAAACUUUAAAUAAAGAUUAUUCCAUUCUAAGUGGUAGUCUAAUACCAAGGCAGUUGAUAGUUUCAGAACAAGACUAAAAUAAAACAAAAAGAAAUUAAUAAAUUUAUAAUUAAAAUUCAUUUAAAAAUGUCAUGACAAAAAAAAAACAUUAAUAAAUGGAUAGUUAAAAUAUAUAUAUGUAAAAUUAAUCCGUAUUUUGCAAAAUUGUGUCACAUGUAAUCAUCAAGGUGAUUCUCAACUUUUCAGUUUGAAUAUUUUUUUUAAAAAAAAUUAUCUUCAAAACAUAUAAUUUUAUAAUAAUUAUGUUAAAAUUUGUCAAAUAAAAUUGUCAAAAACACAAACGGAAAGUUAUAUAUUAUUUAAUAAUUUACAGAUUUUCUAAUAAAUUUAUUAAUUAAAAAAUACUAACAAAUUACAUUCAAAUGCUUUUUUUUAUUGUAUUAUCUAUUAUUUUAACUCUUUAAUGUUAUUUAUUAACUUUAUAUUAUUAAACAAAUAGAUUUUUGUUAUGCUUCCUCAUGAAGCAUGUAAGAAAAGGGAUAAAAUGAUACGCAUUGUCUUAUAUAUAAUAUAGGGAAAAGGGUCAAAAAUACCCCUCAACUUUGUUUUAUUGUUUGACUAUACCCUUACCGUUAAAAAUGAAGUUAUUUUUUGCCCCCUGCCGUCUACAAACUCAUCACAUUUACCCCUCAAUUGGAUGGAAAACCCCCAAAUCAACAAAAAUAACCCGAUUUUACUUAAAUUAACCAAUUUUAACCCGACCCGACCCAUCAAACGAUACAACCCACCUAUGUUCAUCUUCAUUUUUAACCUUAAUUUAUCUGUCUCCCUAUUUCCUACUUCCUACUGUUCAUCUUCAUCACUUCCUUGAGCUUCAAAUCAAACAUUCUUCUUUGCCUUCUUUUCCGUCUUUCCGCAGCUCACGUCUCGGGCAUCAUUAUGCCAUUACAGGCAUCUCUUCAAUACUCCAGUCUCUUCCUUAGAACCUGCCCUAAAUCUGAUACUUCCAGCAAAGUUAAAUUCGAAAUCUCAUUAACUAUCGCUGAUACUCUCCCUGAUGGAGCCAACUUUGAUUCGUGAGCUGAUGUUGUGAAAUUUGAACUAAUUAACGGUUUAGUAAAGCUGUAGAAAUGGGUUUCAGAAUUUUUUUGAAUCUUAGACUGUGGAAUUGUGAAUGCACAUUAGGUGUUAGCUAUGUGGAAAUAGUUCUAGAAUGGUGAUACAAAGAGUUAGAAAUAAAUCGAUUGAAACAUCUCAUGAUUAUGACAUAAAAGCUUCUGACUGAAUUGCUUGGGCUUUGUAAUGGUGCCGGAACAGUGAUUACGGCGACGAUGGGUUUAAUCGUCUGGGAAGUAGGAAGGUUGGGGAAGUUGAGGUUUUAGGCUUACUUACUUGUAUUUACUUAAUCCCAUUAGGUUAUGAAAAUGUUAUUCAUGUCUUUGAAAAUGUAUUUUCCUCCAUUGUUUUUUGCCUUGAUCUCAAGAUGAAGAUGAACAAAGCGGGUCAUCUAUUAGAUGGAUCGGAAUCGGGUUUAAAUUGGUUAAUUUAAGUAAAUCGGGUUAUUUUUGUUGAUUUGGGGGUUUCCAUCCAAUUGAGGGGUAAAUGUGAUGAGUUUGUAGACGGCAGGGGCAAAAAUAACUUCGUUUUAACGAUAAGGGUAUAGUCAAACAAUAAAACAAAGUUGAGGGGUAUUUUUGACCCUUUUCCCUAUAUAAUAUAAAGAAAAUAAUGUACAUAAAAAAAAAGAAUCAGAAAAUUCACCAUCCAAAGUGAAGUGCUCUUCCUGUGUCGUCUAUCCAGAUUUGUGAAGAACAUUAUAGAAAAAAGUAAUUUUUUUUUGUUUAUAUCUACUUUCUUUAAGAGGAGACGGUUUAAAAAUAUAAUAAAGCAAAAAAUAAAUAAAGAGGUAGCAGUUUUAAGUGGUUAUUUGAAGUUCAAAAAUCCUCAAAGUUACCUAUUAAAAAGGAGUCUCAAAUAAUAAUAAUGGUAACAGAAUAGAGUCAAUUAAAAUUUAAUAUUUAAAAAUGUUGUGUUUUCAAGUGGGGUGGAGUGGGGUGGGGCUUCAUACUUUUUCAUAGAGUUGUCAAAACGGGCCAGCCCUUUUUUUUUUUUAUGCCAAAUCAAUGUCACAAACAGUAACAUUGUUUUAAUAAUUCUAAAAAAAAUCUAGCAAUAAAUAUUUAAAGAAAAAAAUAUUCUUAAGUAAAUAAUAUCUGAAAAACAAACUAGUAAACUAAAGAACACUUCUGACUAAAACUUUAGUUAGCAAUACAUAAUUACUUAAAGUAUUUUGUUAAAUGAAAUCAAGAAACUAAUUAAUUGUUCAAGCCAUAAAACAUUCUAUCAUAUUUAAUAUAAAUAGUGUUUACUAUCCAAGUCUUAUGUUCAAAACUAAAUAAUAAAGAAAUUCAUGAGGUAAGCUCCUUAGAAAAACUCCACAAACACUUAUUUAGGUUUUCUAGUUUUUUAUUCUUAUUUUUUUAAUAUUUAUUUUAAUUAAAAUUAAAUAAUUUGGCCCAUGGGCCGACCCGAUCAAGCCUCAAGGGCUAAGGGCCUAAAAAGGGUUGGGCUUAUAAGCCUCGGUUUUAAACGGGCUUGUAAAAUUCUAUUCCAACCCUACCCCAAUAACGAGUUGGGUUGAGCCGGCCCCAUGGGCUAAGCCCUUUUUGACGGCUCUACUUUUUCAUUUAUUUUUUUUGUUUGUAGAUACGUAUUUAAUAUUAUUAGUAUUUAUUUAUUUAUUAUUAUUGUGAAAAUUACUUUAAAAUCUUUUUAAAAACUAAAUGAUAAGUAAUUUUUUUUAUAGAUAAUACAUAGAUAAUAAAUAUCAAUUUAUAGAUAGAUACUUUUUUGUUAAUCAGUUUUUUAUAUUUAAUUUCAUUUUUUAUUAGUUAAAAUAAAUUUUUUUACAAAUAAAUAUUCUGAUUACCCCCAAUAAAAUUUAUUGAAGACAUAUAUAAUUGUCGUUGUAUCUUUUUUCAAAGUUUUAUUUAUUUAUUUAUUGAAAAAUAUUGAAUCUAUCCUAGAUUUAAAAAAUAACACUUUUUAACUAAUUUAUAAAUUGUAUUUUUAAAAAAAAUUAAAUUUGUUUUUAAAAAUACCAACAUUUGUCAUUAUCUGUUAAAGUUGAUGACAUGUGUCUAUUUUUAUUUAAAAGUGUGUAUUUAAAAAAUUUAAAUAGUUAUAUAAUAUUUAAUUAUUUAUUUUUUAAAUUCUUAAAAAUUGUGGCGCUGACAUGUGACGUUUUUUCUUCUCCUAUUAUAUAUAGAUAGAUAAUUAUUUUUAUUUCAUUCUUAUUUUCUUAUUUCAUAACAUAAAUUAUUGCUUUUUUCUUUUCCCAAAUAAUCAUUUUAUAUAAUUUUCAUGUGAUAUAAUAUUUUAUUUUUUAAAAUUUAUUUUUAAGAUAAAAUUAUAUUUUAUUCUAAAUUUCUAAAUAACAUAAAUUGCAAUCAAAUAUUAUAUAAUAUAGGAAAAUUAAUGCACAAUUCAAAUAAAAGUGAAAUCAUUAGUGAAAUACAAUUACUUAAACGUUACAUAAAUACUUAACUUUCAAGAUUAUUAUGUUACUCCCAAAAAUGCUCUGAUAAUGCAUUACGGAGUUCAAAAUUAACACUUUUAUCCUUAAUUUUUUAUGUCUAACUAAAAAUUGUUCAACUAAGAGAUUUUCAUCUACCAUCAUUUUUUGUUGGUGCAAUUAGAGUCAGCUACAUCCAAACAACGAGACGGUGAAAUGCUAGAUGGAUAUAUCAAACUCAAGGAAUUUAUAGAAGAAAAUAAAAUUUUAAGGAAAAAUUUAGAGGCUAUUAGUGAUCCAAAUGUUCGUGAUUACAUGUAACAAGAACAACUAUGAAUAAUUGAAAAAAGAAAUCAAUAUGCACAACCGUAAUUACAACAAUUUUCUAGAUCAUACAUUAUUAUUUUUUUCAGAAUAUUGCUAAAUCUGAAAAUGACCUACUGGAUUACUAAAUAUUGUUGUGAUAAAUAAGUUAUUAUGUUAUUUAUUGUAUUGUUAUUUUGUAUUUAAAUUAUUAACUUGCAUUUAAAUUAUCAUCUUAUGUAUUGGACUUUUAUCUUGUAUUUAAAUUAUUAUGUUAUGUAUUGUAUUUUUAAAUUAGAAUUUUCAUCUUAUCAUUUUAAUUGUACAUUCUUUAUAGUGAAAAUUAAUAAUAAAAUCAAAUUAUAUUAGUGAGGAGGAAAAUUAAAAAAUAUUGAAAUACUGUUAAUUCGGAAUGAAUAUAGUAUAUGUUAAAUAAUAUAUUUUUAAAAUAUUAAAUUAUAUUUUUAAAAAAUCAAAUAUAAGAUAUUUAAGUAAUGACAUUAUAUGUAAAUAAUGUUAAUUACAAAAUAAUAGAAACAAUAAUAAAAUAAUAAAACUAAUAUUCACCUCUCUAAAAAUGAAGAAUAGAGACUAAAAUAAAGAAGGGUUGGAGUGUCCAUUCUCUAUUUUUACUCUCUAAAUAUUGAGAAUGAAUAGUAAAAUAGAGAUGGGUUGGAGAUGGUCGCAUGGGACAAUAUGGGAAAAAACAAAAUUGGACGAUAGUUCGUACUUUAGUGUUAAAUUAUUUUAAAUAGAACGAAGUACACAACAUCCGUUAUCGUCCAGCGGUUAGGAUAUCUGGCUUUCACCCAGGAGACCCGGGUUCGAUUCCCGGUAACGGAACUUUUUGGUGUGACCUCCGAAAUUUUCACUUAUUGUACAAACUUAAGCAAUUGUUCUUCUUAUUUUAUCUUUGUUUAUCAUCUAUUGAUCAUAUUUUAUCAUUUACAGUACCUUAUUUAUUUUUCUCAUUUUAUCUUUGUUUAUUAUCUAUUAAUCAUACUUUAUCAUUUAUAAUACAUUUUUAGUUAUUCAUUUUCCCCUACCUUUCUUAAAGGUUUGCCCUUCAAAUUGGACAUAUGUGACACACAAAAUGAUACAAUCUAUCCAAACUUGAUGAGAAUACAAUUCAAUAUACCAUAAUUGUCCUUCAAAUUGGUCAUAAAAUGAUACAAUCUAUCCAACCGUGAUGACAAUACAAUAGGAUAAAUUAUGAAAUGAUAUAACAACCAUCAUUCACAGAUCUUAUGAUCCAACAAAAUCUUAAAGGAACAGAUUAUAUGAAAUUACAACAAAGUUUGAACAUUUUGAUGGUUGGAUUCGCCUCGACCUUUCAAACGUUUGAAAAAAGUAAGUACAUUAUAACAACUAAAAAGUAUCAUUCUUUACCAGCAUUGUUCAGUCAUUCCAAGGUUAAAAACCAUGAAGAAAGACUUCCAAUUCAGUACUUUACAACUCUACACAGCAAUACACAACUCUCUCAGGCCAACUGGUAAAUUAACAACUAAGGGGCAGUUCACACAUUAGCAAACAUGGUAAAAUAACUGAAAAUGAAGAUCCCUCUCUCAAAGGAAUACAAUAGGGAGAAGACAANNN